rnacentral:lncRNA from 1 species
AGUCUGGGCAGUAUCUUCUCAGCCUAAACCAUUAUUCCCUCCCUCCCUUUUAACAAAGACUCCUAGUUUCCCACCCAAUAUCCAGUCUCCAUUUUCUUCCUAACUGAAUGUUGACUUCUUCCCCCUGGGAAACAAGAUAUCAAGGAAAAUGAUGCACCUUGUUUGCCUCCCUUGCAAGUGGGCCUGGCCCAUCCAUCAGAGGUAAAAUCUGAUUGAACAACAGCAGCUGCCUUCAUCAAGGGAGCCUGGAGAGCAAACAGCGGAAAAACAGUCAUCUGGCAACAUGUUGCAGGAAAAAGACAUUACAAAAGAAUAACAAGCUUGAGGAAACAUGGAUGCCACACCUGAAAGGCAGUGGCCAUUUCGGUAAUCACCUGAGGCAAGAUCAGAAAAAAUCUAAAAGAAUUGCAGAGAUGCUGACCUUGAUGACUUCAAGCUGCUGAACCAAGCCCUCCCCCGACACCAGAAUCUUUCCAAUCAGAUUGAAAAUCCAUCUACAGAAGAAACACCAUCUUCCCAGUCGGAAGCCAAGGCGGCUAUGGCUACCUUCCCAUCAGGCAAACAUGAUCGGUCUGAGACAGGAUGUGUUGUAUCCUCUGAGAAGUUUUCCACUUUCAAAUUACCACUCGAAUGUCAAGGGCAAGAAGAAAAGGCAUCUGAAGUCAGCGUGCCGAGGUGUAGCUCUGCUACGGCAGCGCAUGUAAUAUAGCAGGGAAUCAUAAUUGAUUUCUAAUGGCAGAGAACAUUUAACCCGGCCGUGCGCAGAGAGAGGAACGGAGCGAGGAGGAGAAAAGAAGCUGAGCUCCAACUCCCACUUAAAAACUUCUUGAAGUCUAAAUUAAUUUGGUCCUAUCUCACUUACAGGGAAAGUAUCUAUUUCACUUGCAGCUAAACUGAGCGUUUGCUUAACCUCUUGGGGGAUAGGCUAUAGCUGCACGUAGACCUUUGCAAGAAGUGGCACGGUUAUCCAAUUUCCCUCUAAUUGCUCUAACAAGGAUGAAUUAGGACUUUCAUCAGCAGGACUGAGUGAUCAGUUUGGAGUCAGCCAUGGGCGGUGAAGCUGGUUAUUAAACAAAACUACGGUGUUAACUCCUAAUAAUACACAGUGAGGGCAAAUUAAGCAGAAGACAAAUAUGCCACACUGGUGACACUGGAGAAUAUGUUCUCUCGACUUUAUAUUUUAAAGUGAUGCUAUUAUUAGUGCCAUCUAAGUUCAUUUCUAAGGCAUAAUAGGGAAGUAAAUGUUCACUUGGGCUUUCUAUGUAGUUAAAAAGAAACCAUCUGACAAGGGAACACGGUAUACUGUUGAAAUGCCCACUUGGACUAAGCUCCACUUUGAGAUACAUUAAUUAUUCCAAUAACAUCGCAUUAGGAGAGCGGACAGAAAGCCUAGACAACACUGUAGUCCCCUGAUAAUUGUUGCUGGCUGAGGAGGACUGUGGCUACCACUGACUUUGUUGUCUUUGCUCAAAAUGUCACUGUGCUUGUCCAAGGUAGCAUAAAAUAAAACACUUCUGUUUCCACCCA